rnacentral:rRNA from 1 species
GAUGAACGCUAGCGGCAGGCUUAAUACAUGCAAGUUGAGGGGCAGCACAGGUAGCAAUACUGGGUGGCGACCGGCAAACGGGUGCGGAACACGUACGCAACCUUCCUUUAAGUGGGGGAUAGCCCAGGGAAACUUGGAUUAAUACCCCUUAACAUUAUGAGAUGGCAUCAUUUUAUAAUUAAAGCUCCGGCGCUUAAAGA